rnacentral:rRNA from 1 species
UUGUACAAGGCCCGGGAANGUAUUCACCGCGACAUGCUGAUCCGCGAUUACUAGCGAUUCCAACUUCAUGGAGUCGAGUUGCAGACUCCAAUCCGGACUACGAUACACUUUNUGGGAUUAGCUCCCCCUCGCGGGUUGGCGGCCCUCUGUAUGUACCAUUGUAUGACGUGUGAAGCCCUACCCAUAAGGGCCAUGAGGACUUGANGGUCAUCCCCACCUUCCUCCGGUUUGUCACCGGCAGUCUCAUUAGAGUGCCCUUUCGUAGCAACUAAUGACAAGGGUUGCGCUCGUUGCGGGACUUAACCCAACAUCUCACGACACGAGCUGACGACAGCCAUGCAGCACCUGUGUGAUGGUUCUCUUUCGAGCACUCCCNAAUCUCUUCGGGAUUCCAUCCAGGNAGUNAAA